rnacentral:rRNA from 2 species
UAAGUCUGAUGUGAAAGCCCUCGGCUUAACCGAGGAAGUGCAUCGGAAACUGGAAAACUUGAGUGCAGAAGAGGACAGUGGAACUCCAUGUGUAGCGGUGAAAUGCGUAGAUAUAUGGAAGAACACCAGUGGCGAAGGCGGCUGUCUGGUCUGUAACUGACGCUGAGGCUCGAAAGCAUGGGUAGCGAACAGGAUUAGAUACCCUGGUAGUCCAUGCCGUAAACGAUGAAUGCUAGGUGUUGGAGGGUUUCCGCCCUUCAGUGCCGCAGCUAACGCAUUAAGCAUUCCGCCUGGGGAGUACGACCGCAAGGUUGAAACUCAAAGGAAUUGACGGGGGCCCGCACAAGCGGUGGAGCAUGUGGUUUAAUUCGAAGCAACGCGAAGAACCUUACCAGGUCUUGACAUCUUUUGAUCACCUGAGAGAUCAGGUUUCCCCUUCGGGGGCAAAAUGACAGGUGGUGCAUGGUUGUCGUCAGCUCGUGUCGUGAGAUGUUGGGUUAAGUCCCGCAACGAGCGCAACCCUUAUGACUAGUUGCCAGCAUUUAGUUGGGCACUCUAGUAAGACUGCCGGUGACAAACCGGAGGAAGGUGGGGAUGACGUCAAAUCAUCAUGCCCCUUAUGACCUGGGCUACACACGUGCUACAAUGGAUGGUACAACGAGUUGCGAGACCGCGAGGUCAAGCUAAUCUCUUAAAGCCAUUCUCAGUUCGGACUGUAGGCUGCAACUCGCCUACACGAAGUCGGAAUCGCUAGUAAUCGCGGAUCAGCACGCCGCGGUGAAUACGUUCCCGGGCCUUGUACACACCGCCCGUCACACCAUGAGAGUUUGUAACACCCGAAGCCGGUGGCGUAACCCU